ACCAGAAGAAGAAAUGGAGGAUACGUAGCAAAAUCAUUGAUGCAGCCAAAGCACGUAUCGCAGCAUAGUGGGAAUAGAAUCCUUGAUAGCCAAUGUUUCAGCAACAUGAGUAAGGGCUGCAUGGAAUUUUGAUCCUCUUAAUGCAAAAACCUAUUUUUCCUUGUUUCUGAAGACGAUGCCUGCAGGCUGCAGCAGCGCAACUGUUAGUCCUCAUUGCAGCACCACAACAUCCUUUGAAUCCUCGUCAAAGCAAUUGUCUAGGGCACCGAAGGCCGAAGGCUUCAUGAACAACUUGUUGCAGAUUCCGGGUCUUAUUAUUAAAGAUAAUAUUGUUUCUUGCUUUCCAGAUAAACCAGGGAAGAAAAAAAAGCAAUUGUAUUAGGAAUAUGAUUGUCUCGGCUUUAUUUAGCGGUUGCCUUGUCUACUCCAGCUUUUUAGCAGAUCCCACACUCGCAAAAGCCAUCCAUUCUUGAUUGAAGAGGAGAUGCUAACCAGAUGUAUGGAACCUUUUGACAGUGCAAGAACAGAUGGUUGAUAUCUUCAUCAGGCAGCCCACAAAGAUCCCCUGCACUUGUUUUUUUCUUUUUUGAAUAAUUGAAUUUUAUUACAACACUUACGCUAAUUUACACUUAUGCAUCUUAAUUUACUUGUAUAAUGUCCCUAAUUUAUUAAUUUUCUAUUUUAGUUGUAUCUCUUAAUUGUUUGGACAUCAAGGUAGUGAAGGUGAAUAAAUUUUCUUACAUAUUGUGUGCUAAAA